rnacentral:misc_RNA from 1 species
ACUGGCUGAGAUAUGAUGGCAGAAACAAAGUUUGGAUUUGAAGGAUUUGGUUUUUAGAAUUUUCUAUUUUGAAAGAGAUUUGUUUAGUGGUCAAUCUCAUAGGUAAGGCAAUAUGCAGAUAGAUUUUGGUGGGCAUAGGUUUGACCUGAUUAAAGCAAGUAAAUAAGGAAAAUUGAUGUUUGUUGGGUUCUGUUGAUCAGAAUCUGUUAGUAUAUAUAGCAGUUAACUUUAGGGAAAGAGGAAGAGGAAAUAUGAUUAAUCAUGGCACAAGAAUCAUAUGCUAGGCAUGUAUGUCUCCG